rnacentral:rRNA from 1 species
UACAGAGGUCUCAAGCGUUGUCCGGAUUUAUUGGGCGUAAAGAGCGUGUAGGCGGCUUGGAAGGUCAGCUGUGAAAACUCGAGGCUCAACCUCGAGACGUCGGUUGAAACCACCUGGCUAGAGUCCGGAAGAGGAGUGUGGAAUUCCCGGUGUAGCGGUGAAAUGCGCAGAUAUCGGGAAGAACACCCGUGGCGAAGGCGGCACUCUGGGACGGUACUGACGCUGAGACGCGAAAGCGUGGGGAGCGAACAGG